rnacentral:rRNA from 1 species
UACGAGGGGGGCGAGCGUUGUUCGGAAUUACUGGGCGUAAAGCGCACGUAGGCGGAUCGAUCAGUCAGGGGUGAAAUCCCAGGGCUCAACCCUGGAACUGCCUUUGAUACUGUCGAUCUGGAGUAUGGAAGAGGUGAGUGGAAUUCCGAGUGUAGAGGUGAAAUUCGUAGAUAUUCGGAGGAACACCAGUGGCGAAGGCGGCUCACUGGUCCAUUACUGACGCUGAGGUGCGAAAGCGUGGGGAGCAAACAGG